rnacentral:lncRNA from 1 species
UGUUGACCAUAAGUAAACUUGGACUUCUGCUGAGGGCGACGCCCAGGCUUGUAGUUUGGGAGGGAAGCCAUGAAGUCAAUAGCAUAUAUCCUUGGAGCGACCAAAGUGUUACAAUGUGUGCAACACUCCCUACUACAUCUCUUAUGAAUAUUUGGCCGAGAACUAGUAGCAGGUGCAAUAGAAGAAGGAUCAAGAAGGGCCAAACCAAGUGGUGUAUUAAUUUGGCUUAAAUGACACGUUGAGAUUCAUCCUGCAGCAAAAGUGAAUUGGCACGACCCAAGGAUGGAAGGGGUACCAUGAGGGGUAUUUGGCUACGGACAUUAGCAUUCGUAUCAUUCAAGCCCAUCAAAAACUGCAUCAAUUGUUGUUGAUUGAGGUGAUCAGAAAUCCUCUUGGAAGAGCUGCACCGACAGGUAAGAUGGGGAUCAUAUAUAGUGGCCUGUUGAAAUGAUCACUC